GUCCCUUUCGUCUAGCGGUUAGGACAUUAUCUUUUCAUGUCGAAGACAUGAGUUCGAUUCGUGUAGGGGAUA
rnacentral:tRNA from 1 species